rnacentral:rRNA from 1 species
GUAGGUGGCAAGCGUUGUCCGGAAUUAUUGGGCGUAAAGCGCGCGCAGGCGGUUCUUUAAGUCUGAUGUGAAAGCCCACGGCUCAACCGUGGAGGGUCAUUGGAAACUGGAGAACUUGAGUACAGAAGAGGAAAGCGGAAUUCCACGUGUAGCGGUGAAAUGCGUAGAGAUGUGGAGGAACACCAGUGGCGAAGGCGGCUUUCUGGUCUGUAACUGACGCUGAGGCGCGAAAGCGUGGGGAGCAAACAGGGAUUAGAUACCCAGGUAGUCCACGCCGUAAACGAUGAGUGCUAAGGGUUAGGGGGUUUCCCGCCCCUUAGUGCUGCAGCUAACGCAUUAAGCACUCCGCCUGGGGAGUACGGCCGCAAGGCUG